GGAGUUUACAUAGGGGAAAAGUAGUUUGAAAUUGCGCCAAAAUUACAUCAUAGGCUGUCCUCCAAUCAGCAAACAUGAAUACUAUAUAUAUUAUAAAUAAAGCAAACAGUGGUACAUAUUGAUUUAUAUAAGCUUGUGGACCAAUAGCUGCAACAUCUAACAUCUGCCCCUGGGGUUGGAGAUCUGGGCCGGCUGGGUCCCAUCGCUACCUACCAACUGGGGGUCUUCCCAGGACCAGUAGAUAAGGUCUUCUAUCUCUGGGGCUGGUUGGGAAGUAGGUGGUACAGGUCUCCUGAUGACAGGCUUAGUUGCUGAGGAGGAGGGACGAAACUCAACGCUCCCGGUGGUAUACAGUCCGUAAGCCGCAUCAUGUCAGAGACAGGUGGUGUUACCCGGCUAAAUAGGCAAGCAUAGUCCUGCUCGAGCUCCCACUCCAAGUUAGCCAGAUAGGACAGGUUGUCUACCCGCUCAGAUAGACCAGAAGCGAGCACUGUCUGUUUCUCUGAACCAGAGACUAGUUUCAAAAGCCUCCCACAACAAACCAUGGCCAUCAUAGUCUCCCCCACCUCAGCCAAGGGUAGAGGUGAUAGGCAUGCCACCGCAGGGCCCCGUAUGAAUCAUCCAGCCACACUUCAGUCUUAACUAGCGUGUGUGUGUGUGGGGGGCAAUGUAUGUGUGUGUGUGUGAGGGGGGGCAGUGUAUGUGUGUGUGUAGGGUAUGUGUGUGAUAAGGAUGGGGGGCUUUUU